GUUUACCUGUGUGACUGCGUACCUUUUGUAUAAUGGGUCAGCGACUUAUAUUCUGUAGCAAGGUUAACCGAAUAGGGGAGCCGGAGGGAAACCGAGUCUUAAUUGGGCGUUAAGUUGCAGGGUAUAGACCCGAAACCCGGUGAUCUAGCCAUGGGCAGGUUGAAGGUUGGGUAACACUAACUGGAGGACCGAACCGACUAAUGUUGAAAAAUUAGCGGAUGACCUGUGGCUGGGGGUGAAAGGCCAAUCAAACCGGGAGAUAGCUGGUUCUCCCCGAAAGCUAUUUAGGUAGCGCCUCGUGAAUUCAUCUCCGGGGGUAGAGCACUGUUUCGGCUAGGGGGCCAUCCCGGCUUACCAACCCGAUGCAAACUGCGAAUACCGGAGAAUGUUAUCACGGGAGACACACGGCGGGUGCUAACGUCCGUCGUGAAGAGGGAAACAACCCAGACCGCCAGCUAAGGUCCCAAAGUCAUGGUUAAGUGGGAAACGAUGUGGGAAGGCCCAGACAGCCAGGAUGUUGGCUUAGAAGCAGCCAUCAUUUAAAGAAAGCGUAAUAGCUCACUGGUCGAGUCGGCCUGCGCGGAAGAUGUAACGGGGCUAAACCAUGCACCGAAGCUGCGGCAGCGANNGUUGGGUAGGGGAGCGUUCUGUAAGCCUGUGAAGGUGGCCUGUGAGGGUUGCUGGAGGUAUCAGAAGUGCGAAUGCUGACAUAAGUAACGAUAAAGCGGGUGAAAAGCCCGCUCGCCGGAAGACCAAGGGUUCCUGUCCAACGUUAAUCGGGGCAGGGUGAGUCGACCCCUAAGGCGAGGCCGAAAGGCGUAGUCGAUGGGAAACGGGUUAAUAUUCCCGUACUUGGUGUUACUGCGAAGGGGGGACGGAGAAGGCUAUGUUGGCCGGGCGACGGUUGUCCCGGUUUAAGCGUGUAGGUGUGUGUUCCAGGUAAAUCCGGUUCACUUUAACACUGAGGCGUGAUGACGAGGCACUACGGUGCUGAAGUAACAAAUGCCCUGCUUCCAGGAAAAGCCUCUAAGCAUCAGGUAACAUCAAAUCGUACCCCAAACCGACACAGGUGGUCAGGUAGAGAAUACCAAGGCGCUUGAGAGAACUCGGGUGAAGGAACUAGGCAAAAUGGUGCCGUAACUUCGGGAGAAGGCACGCUGACACGUAGGUGAAGUGAUUUACUCACGGAGCUGAAGUCAGUCGAAGAUACCAGCUGGCUGCAACUGUUUAUUAAAAACACAGCACUGUGCAAACACGAAAGUGGACGUAUACGGUGUGACGCCUGCCCGGUGCCGGAAGGUUAAUUGAUGGGGUCAGCGCAAGCGAAGCUCCUGAUCGAAGCCCCGGUAAACGGCGGCCGUAACUAUAACGGUCCUAAGGUAGCGAAAUUCCUUGUCGGGUAAGUUCCGACCUGCACGAAUGGCGUAAUGAUGGCCAGGCUGUCUCCACCCGAGACUCAGUGAAAUUGAACUCGCUGUGAAGAUGCAGUGUACCCGCGGCAAGACGGAAAGACCCCGUGAACCUUUACUAUAGCUUGACACUGAACAUUGAGCCUUGAUGUGUAGGAUAGGUGGGAGGCUUUGANNCGGGUUGCGGACAGUGUCUGGUGGGUAGUUUGACUGGGGCGGUCUCCUCCUAAAGAGUAACGGAGGAGCACGAAGGUUGGCUAAUCCUGGUCGGACAUCAGGAGGUUAGUGCAAUGGCAUAAGCCAGCUUGACUGCGAGCGUGACGGCGCGAGCAGGUGCGAAAGCAGGUCAUAGUGAUCCGGUGGUUCUGAAUGGAAGGGCCAUCGCUCAACGGAUAAAAGGUACUCCGGGGAUAACAGGCUGAUACCGCCCAAGAGUUCAUAUCGACGGCGGUGUUUGGCACCUCGAUGUCGGCUCAUCACAUCCUGGGGCUGAAGUAGGUCCCAAGGGUAUGGCUGUUCGCCAUUUAAAGUGGUACGCGAGCUGGGUUUAGAACGUCGUGAGACAGUUCGGUCCCUAUCUGCCGUGGGCGCUGGAGAACUGAGGGGGGCUGCUCCUAGUACGAGAGGACCGGAGUGGACGCAUCACUGGUGUUCGGGUUGUCAUGCCAAUGGCACUGCCCGGUAGCUAAAUGCGGAAGAGAUAAGUGCUGAAAGCAUCUAAGCACGAAACUUGCCCCGAGAUGAGUUCUCCCUGAGACUUAGAGUCUCCUGAAGGAACGUUGAAGACGACGACGUUGAUAGGCCGGGUGUGUAAGCGCAGCG
rnacentral:rRNA from 1 species